GACGAACGCUGGCGGCGUGCCUAAUACAUGCAAGUCGAACGAGAGCGACCGGUGCUUGCACUGGUCAAUCUAGUGGUGAACGGGUGAGUAACACGUGGGUAACCUGCCCAUCAGAGGGGGAUAACAUCCGGAAACGGAUGCUAAAACCGCAUAGGCCUUCGAACCGCAUGGUUUGAAGAGGAAAAGAGGCGCAAGCUUCUGCUGAUGGAUGGACCCGCGGUGCAUUAGCUAGUUGGUGAGGUAACGGCUCACCAAGGCCGUGAUGCAUAGCCGACCUGAGGGGGUGAUCGGCCACAUUGGGACUGAGACACGGCCCAAACUCCUACGGGAGGCAGCAGUAGGGAAUCUUCCGCAAUGGACGCAAGUCUGACGGAGCAACGCCGCGUGAGUGAAGAAGGUUUUCGGAUCGUAAAACUCUGUUGUUAGAGAUGAACAAGUGCUAGAGUAACUGUUAGCGCCUUGACGGUAUCUAACCAGAAAGCCACGGCUAACUACGUG
rnacentral:rRNA from 1 species